rnacentral:rRNA from 1 species
UACGGAAGGGGCAAGCGUUGUUCGGAAUCAUUGGGCGUAAAGGGCGCGUAGGCGGCCUGCUAAGUCGAACGUGAAAUCCCCGGGCUCAACCCGGGAACUGCGUCCGAUACUGGCAGGCUUGAAUCCGGGAGAGGGAUGUGGAAUUCCAGGUGUAGCGGUGAAAUGCGUAGAUAUCUGGAGGAACACCGGUGGCGAAGGCGGCAUCCUGGACCGGCAUUGACGCUGAGGCGGCGAAAAGCG